UGACCGCUAUUGGCAAUGGCUUUGGCAGAUAAUAUGGAAGGCGUGGGGCGCCAGGGGCCGGACGAGGAGGAGGGGCGCUCCAGGAAGACUGAUGUGGCCAAGUCCCGCGAGGCGUUAGUGGAGGACGACCCGAAGUCCCGCCUCCUCUACAGCGUCGAGGACAGCCCUCCUUGGUACACCUGCGUCUUCUUGGGCAUCCAGCAUUACCUGAUGAUGGUAGAAUCCACCGUAAGCAUCCCGUACCUCCUGACGCCCCUGAUGUGCAUGGCGGCGUCGGACCCAGCCCGCGGCUCCAUCGCCUCAACCAUCAUCUUCGUCAGCGGGAUCGUCACGCUCCUCCAGACAACUUUCGGCGUCAGGUUACCGAUAGUGCAAGGGGGCACACAUGGCUUCCUCGGCCCCAUCCUGGCCAUCCUGUCGCUCAUGCCCUGCCCGAGCGAGGAGGAAUUCGACGCCCUGACGGAGGCGGAGAAGACGGAGCUGUGGCAGGUCAGAAUGAGGCAGGUCCAGGGCGCCAUCUGCGUGUCAGCGGUCUUCCAGAUCCUCGUAGGAUUCACCGGAGCCAUCGGCGCCCUCCUGCGCUGGAUCUCGCCGCUGGUGAUUGUGCCGACGGUCACCCUCAUCGGCUUCUCGCUCUUCCCCGUCGCGGCCUCCAAGGCGGCCUCGCACUGGGGCAUCAGCAUGAUGACCAUCGUGCUGCUCGUGAUGUUCUCGCAGUACCUGGCCGACGUCCCGCUGCCCUUCGUCAGCUGGUCGCGCUCGAGGGGCUUCACCAGGACCAACAUCCACUUCUUCAAGCUCUUCCCGGUGCUGCUGGCGGUGGUGGGUGCGUGGGGCACCUGCUGGGUGCUGACAUACACGGACACGUUGCCGAAGGAGUCGCACGCGCGCACGGACACGAGGCUGGACAUCAUCACCGAAGCCCCGUGGUUCCGCGUUCCCUACCCCGGCCAGUGGGGGCUGCCCACCGUCAGCGUCGCCGGCGUGCUGGGCAUGAUGGCGGGGGUGCUCGCCAGCAUCGUCGAGAGCGUCGGGGACUACUUCGCCUGCGCGCGCCUGGCAGGUGCGCCCGCCCCUCCCAAGCACGCCAUCAACCGUGGCAUCUGGAUGGAGGGCCUUGGCACGGCGCUUGCCGGCCUCUGGGGCACCGGCAGCGGCACGACCUCCUACUCGCAGAACGUCGGCGCCAUUGGUGUCACAAGGGUGGGCAGCCGCCGCGUCGUGCAGUACAGCGCCGUCAUCAUGCUACUGUGCGGGCUGGUGGGCAAGGUGGGCGCCCUCUUCAUCACCAUCCCUGAGCCCAUCAUCGGGGGCAUCUUCUGCGUCGUCUUCGCCAUGAUCACCUCCGUCGGCCUCUCCUCCCUCCAGUACGUCGACCUCAACUCACCCAGGAACCUCUUCGUCAUCGGGUUCUCCCUCUUCUUCGGAUGGCGCUGCCCAUGUGGAUGCAAAGGCCCGAGAACAAGUACAUCAUCAACACGUCGCUGCCUUUGUUGGACCAAGUGCUGUCUGUGUUGCUCCGGACGUCCAUGUUUGUCGGGGGUUUCCUGGGCUUCGUUCUGGACAACACGGUCCCAGGCACGGACGAGGAGCGAGGCAUGAAGAAGUGGAAGGCGCAGCUGAAGCCCCAGAGGGACGAGAACGACGUCGUGAUCACAGACGCGCGCUGCUACGACCUCCCCGUGGGAAUGCCCUUCUUCCGAGUGUGGGGCUGGGCAAAGUUCGUCCCCAUCCUGCCCACCUUCGUCGGCUGGAGCGCUGUCCGCCGGAGAUGCAUGCCGACGCACUCCCAAAAGUCGUAAUCUCGCCGGCCAUCCACGGGUGAAAAGCUGCCUUAGUUUAAAAUUCAAGAAAUCCUGGCGCUAAGGCUGUCUGGAAGGUAAAUCAUUAUGUCAGACCUUUUCAUGAACAAAUUGUUAUAAAAACCAGCUGUGAAUCUGCCUAACUGUGAUGCCGCCAGGUUCUCAUGUAUGGGGUAUUUAAAGCAUAGUUUUAAAAAAUGACAUUUGAAACUACCUCCUUACACGCGGCAUUCUCACGAAAUUUUUAACGUACCAGAUGGUUAUUCUUCUAAAAGUUGUUGAAAACGAUCUUCGCUAAUUUAACAUGGGAAAGUUAAAGGUGGCUGUGGAUUUUUGUGACUAAGAAUGAAUACAUCUGCAUGUCCAUAGAACGUGAUCUCGCUUCUGAUGAGAACAACUGCUGCCACAGACAAUUUUUCGAUACUUUAAAGAUGUUACAGUCUACGUAAAAUAUCUAUCAUAUUUAUUGAAUGUCAUUUAGUGUUAACUUAGGACUGCUGGCGGUUCCUGAAGUUAAACUGUGUCAUAAAAUAACUUUUACAAGAUUUCAAGAUCAAAGUUGGAAAAUAUCUUUUGACACAGUAGUGUCCCAGUAAUUAUUGCAGUCCGAAAAUGUUUCAGAUCUUUGCAUUUUAAUAACAAGACAACCAAUGUGAUAUUAGCAAAAAUGUCUAACAUGCCAAAGUUGGAAUAAAAUUUACGAAUGCAAUCUGA
rnacentral:misc_RNA from 1 species